rnacentral:rRNA from 1 species
CCUACGGGAGGCAGCAGUGAGGAAUAUUGGUCAAUGGGCUUACGCCUGAACCAGCCAAGUCGCGUGAGGGAAGACUGCCCUAUGGGUUGUAAACCUCUUUUGUCAGGGAGCAAUUGGCGCUACGUGUAGCGUUAUCGAGAGUACCUGAAGAAAAAGCAUCGGCUAACUCCGUGCCAGCAGCCGCGGUAAUACGGAGGAUGCGAGCGUUAUCCGGAUUUAUUGGGUUUAAAGGGUGCGCAGGCGGAAUGUCAAGUCAGCGGUAAAAUUUCGGGGCUCAACCCCGUCGUGCCGUUGAAACUGGCGUUCUUGAGUGAGCGAGAAGUAUGCGGAAUGCGUGGUGUAGCGGUGAAAUGCAUAGAUAUCGCGCAGAACCCCGAUUGCGAAGGCAGCGUGCCGUGCCGCCACUGACGCUGAGGCACGAAAGCGCGGGGAUCGAACAGGAUUAGAUACCCCGGUAGUC